AGAGCGAACGCUGGCGGCGUGCUUAACACAUGCAAGUCGAGUGUGCGGUCGUAGCAAUACGGCUGGCGCACGGCGCACGGGUGAGUAACACGUGGGUAACCUGCCCUCCAAAGGGGGAUAACCCCGGCGAAGGCGGGGCUAAUACCGCAUGACAUUCCGGUGGCUUCGGCCGCUGGAAUCAAAGGCAGAAAAUGUCGUUGGAGGAGGGGCCCGCGCCCGAUUAGCUAGUUGGCGAGGUAAUGGCUCACCAAGGCUUUGAUCGGUAGCCGGUCUGAGAGGAUGGCCGGCCACACUGGAACCUGAGACACGGUCCAGACUCCACGGAGGCAGCAGUGGGAAUCUUGCGCAAUGGGCGAAAGCCUGACGCAGCGACGCCGCGUGGGGGAUGAAGCUUCUCGGAGUGUAAACCCCUUUCGACCCCGGACGAAACACCCGCAAGGGUUUGACGGUACGGGUAUAAGAAGCCCGGCCAACUACGUGCCAGCAGCCGC
rnacentral:rRNA from 1 species